rnacentral:rRNA from 1 species
UUUAUGGAGAGUUUGAUCCUGGCUCAGGAUGAACGCUGGCGGCGUGCCUAAUACAUGCAAGUCGAGCGAACAGAUAAGGAGCUUGCUCCUUUGACGUUAGCGGCGGACGGGUGAGUAACACGUGGGUAACCUACCUAUAAGACUGGAAUAACUCCGGGAAACCGGGGCUAAUGCCGGAUAACAUGUUGAACCGCAUGGUUCUACAGUGAAAGACGGUCUUGCUGUCACUUAUAGAUGGACCCGCGCCGUAUUAGCUAGUUGGUGGGGUAACGGCCUACCAAGGCGACGAUACGUAGCCGACCUGAGAGGGUGAUCGGCCACACUGGAACUGAGACACGGUCCAGACUCCUACGGGAGGCAGCAGUAGGGAAUCUUCCGCAAUGGGCGAAAGCCUGACGGAGCAACGCCGCGUGAGUGAUGAAGGUCUUCGGAUCGUAAAGCUCUGUUGUUAGGGAAGAACAAAUGUGUAAGUAACUGUGCACAUCUUGACGGUACCUAACCAGAAAGCCACGGCUAACUACGUGCCAGCAGCCGCGGUAAUACGUAGGUGGCAAGCGUUAUCCGGAAUUAUUGGGCGUAAAGCGCGCGUAGGCGGUUUUUUAAGUCUGAUGUGAAAGCCCACGGCUCAACCGUGGAGGGUCAUUGGAAACUGGAAAACUUGAGUGCAGAAGAGGAAAGUGGAAUUCCAUGUGUAGCGGUGAAAUGCGCAGAGAUAUGGAGGAACACCAGUGGCGAAGGCGGCUUUCUGGUCUGCAACUGACGCUGAUGUGCGAAAGCGUGGGGAUCAAACAGGAUUAGAUACCCUGGUAGUCCACGCCGUAAACGAUGAGUGCUAAGUGUUAGGGGGUUUCCGCCCCUUAGUGCUGCAGCUAACGCAUUAAGCACUCCGCCUGGGGAGUACGGUCGCAAGACUGAAACUCAAAGGAAUUGACGGGGACCCGCACAAGCGGUGGAGCAUGUGGUUUAAUUCGAAGCAACGCGAAGAACCUUACCAAAUCUUGACAUCCUUUGACCGCUCUAGAGAUAGAGUUUUCCUCUUCGGAGGACAAAGUGACAGGUGGUGCAUGGUUGUCGUCAGCUCGUGUCGUGAGAUGUUGGGUUAAGUCCCGCAAC